UUUGAUCUCCAUCUUGCUCUUUCACUUUUGGUUAAAAUCCAUCAUGGUAUCAGAGCUAUACUGAUCUUUGAAGUGGGAUCUGUGAGAUCAAAAAGAAGAGAAAACAAGUAAGAAACCUGAACAUAAAAAACCUUCAUCAUAUCAGUCGUAAUAUAGGAUCGGAUUCAGAUGGCAUAACUGGAUUUUCAGCACCUUUACCUUCGGUUUUCACAGGAGAGAACUAUGACUUUUGGGCAGCAAAGAUGAAGGCUUAUUUAAAGGCUUAUGACCUGUGGGAAAUCACAGAAUCAGGUGUUGAACCACCGGCCUUAAGAGCAAGUCCUACAAUUGCUCAACUGAAGCAACAUAGUGAGGAGGUUGCAAAAAAGUUCAAAGCCUUGUCUUGUAUCCAGUCGGCUGUGUCUGAUGGAAUAUUCACCAGGAUAAUAACCU
rnacentral:lncRNA from 1 species